rnacentral:rRNA from 1 species
UCUCGCGUCAGGAUAUGCCUAGGUGGGAUUAGCUAGUUGGUGAGUAAGGGCUCACCAAGGCGACGAUCCCUAGCUGGUCUGAGAGGAUGAUCAGCCACACUGGAACUGAGACACGGUCCAGACUCCUACGGGAGGCAGCAGUGGGGAAUAUUGCACAAUGGGCGCAAGCCUGAUGCAGCCAUGCCGCGUGUGUGAAGAAGGCCUUCGGGUUGUAAAGCACUUUCAGUCGUGAGGAAGGUAGUGUAGUUAAUAGCUGCAUUAUUUGACGUUAGCGACAGAAGAAGCACCGGCUAACUCCGUGCCAGCAGCCGCGGUAAUACGGAGGGUGCGAGCGUUAAUCGGAAUUACUGGGCGUAAAGCGCAUGCAGGUGGUUUGUUAAGUCAGAUGUGAAAGCCCGGGGCUCAACCUCGGAAUAGCAUUUGAAACUGGCAGACUAGAGUACUGUAGAGGGGGGUAGAAUUUCA